UGUUAUCAUUUAUAUAGCACAUUUAAUUGCAACGUUGUUGCACAGUUACAUUAAACCAUACAUUUAUAAAAACAUUAGCAGGUGUUCAAAAGGCCCUGUCUAUGACAUCACUUGCUGCUGCAGCCUGACACAGGUCAGAGUAUUUUGGCGGUUGCCAUCUUCAAACGGUCGUAUUUUAAAAACUAUAAAUCCUACAGCGAAGCGCUUUAUAUUGUGAGAAUCACAAGUCCCAGACCUACAUUUUG
rnacentral:lncRNA from 1 species